rnacentral:rRNA from 1 species
AGUGAACGCUGGCGGUAGGCCUAACACAUGCAAGUCGAACGGCAGCACCGUAAGAGCUUGCUCUUACGGGUGUAGAGUGGCGGACGGGUGCGGAAUACAUCGGAAUCUACUUUUUCGUGGGGGCUAAUGUCGGGAAACUUACGCUAAUACCGCAUACGACGUACGGGUGAAAGCAGGGGAUCUUCGGACCUUGUGCGAUUGAAUGAGCCGAUGUCGGCUUAGCUUGUUGGCGGGGUAAAGGCCCACAAAGGCGACGAUCCGUAGCUGGUCUGAGAGGAAGGUCAGCCAGACUGUAAGUGAGACAGGUCCGAGACUCCGACAGUGGGCAGCAGUGGGGAAUAUUGGACGAUGGGGGCAAGCCGAAUCCAGCCAUACCGCGUGAGUGAAGAAGGCCUUCUGGUUGGAGAGUCCUUAUGUUGGGAAAGAAAAGCAGCAGUUUAAUACCCCGCUAUUCUGACGGUACCCAAAGAAUAAGCACCGGCUAACUUCGUG